rnacentral:rRNA from 1 species
UGAGGAAUCUUGCGCAAUGGACGAAAGUCUGACGCAGCCACGCCGCGUGGAGGAAGACACCCCUCAGGGGCGUAAACUCCUUUUAUAUGGGAAGAACACCCUCUUCUGGAGGGUCUGACGGUACCAUAUGAAUAAGCACCGGCUAACUCCGUGCCAGCAGCCGCGGUAAUACGGAGGGUGCAAGCGUUGUCCGGAAUCACUGGGUGUAAAGGGUGUGUAGGCGGGGCGGUAAGUCAGAGGUGAAAUCCCCCGGCUCAACCGGGGAAUUGCCUUUGAUACUGCCGCUCUUGAGUCCCGGAGGGGUCACUGGAAUUCGUGGUGUAGCGGUGAAAUGCGUAGAUAUCACGAGGAACACCAGAGGCGUAGGCGGGUGACUGGACGGGUACUGACGCUGAGGCACGAAAGCGUGGGGAGCAAACAGGAUUAGAUACC